GACGUAGGGUGCGAGCGUUGUCCGGAUUUAUUGGGCGUAAAGAGCUCGUAGGCGGCUCGUCGCGUCGGCCGUGAAAACCUAGGGCUUAACCCUGGGCUUGCGGUCGAUACGGGCGGGCUAGAGUUCGGUAGGGGAGACUGGAAUUCCUGGUGUAGCGGUGAAAUGCGCAGAUAUCAGGAGGAACACCGGUGGCGAAGGCGGGUCUCUGGGCCGAUACUGACGCUGAGGAGCGAAAGCGUGGGGAGCGAACAGG
rnacentral:rRNA from 1 species